CCUUCUCCGUGUCCACUUCGAUCUUGUCCAGACUCACCUGAGCCGUGCUGCGCGGCUGCCUCUCGUUCUGAACGGCUAAAGGGUGGGGAGGACAGCGUCAGUGCAUGUCCUGGAAAACUUUUGCAAACAUCGACUUGUCCUGGGACCUGGGAAAUGGUCACCAUACACUGGUGCAAGGUGUCAACAGGGGACCUCCCAUGAAUAACUGAAGGAGGAUCAGAAAGCUGUCUUGUUUGAAAACCCCUCAUGUGGCUGAUCUUUGGAUUCUGAAUACAUUUCCCUGAUGAAACUUCACUCAUCUAGGUUCCACAUGAAACACCAGUAGCGACUGUUGGAGCAACUAUAUGAGUGUCAAAUCCAAAUCUUAACUCUGAAAAGUUUGCAGGAGAAGAGAGCCGUCAGAUACAGAUUGCUGUGCCAUCACCUAAUUCCUAGUCUGACUGGAUUUCAGCCAGUGGCCAACAGCAAAUAGGGUCAUCAACUACAGCAGGACCAGCCACAUGGCACUCAUCGCGGGUUACUAGGAGAAUGUUGCUAAUUCCUGAAAGUCACAGAAGCUGUUUACAGAAUAGCAACAAAAACAAACCUACUUUUACUGACAUUAAAACCAGAAGUGCAGCAUUCCUUAACUGUGUGAUAACCAAAGCUAUCAAAUUAAUCUCACCUCUCAUAAGAGAACAACAGCAUUCUCCCAUGUCCUUUCUUGUUUUGUACUUAUUAUUUUCACUGUUCACUACCAGUAUUUCCUACCACAACAGAAUGGGUGCUAAAACCUGUCUAAUCCAGCAUCACUUUGUCAGUAAUGUGCUGUAUUACUGAGAUACAGUAAAAUGUAAUAAGACAAAUAAAAACAAAUAAAA